CGCAGCCGAGUAGCUAUCGCUAGAUGCUAGUCUCACAUAGCCCGACAUUACUCCACAGCGCAGCGGAGUAGCUAACGUUAGAUGCAGGCUAUGUUGACAGUCAUAAAAGCCUGUGCCCUCGCGGAGCUCUGUAACGGACUGACAGCCCCUCUUUCUCGGCUUAAAAUUACGGCAACAACCGCUAAAAACACCACAACCUCGCGCUCCUCUCUACCCAACUUACAGCCACCCUUUCUUGGCUUAAAAUUACUCACCGUUUGUCGGCUACGGUCACCAAACAGGCUAC